rnacentral:tRNA from 1 species
UCCGAAUUGGUGUAGUGGUCAACAUUUGACGCUCUCAACAACAUCAUUCAUCAUGGUGAUGUUCAACAAGUGCCGUCAAGCCCGGGGUUCGAUUCCCCGAUUCGGAG